rnacentral:lncRNA from 1 species
UUACAAUCAUGGGAUAGAUUUAUCAUUCAAAUACCUGAAAUUGUACUUAAGCUCAAGAAGAAAUGCGGCACAACAACUAGUACAAGCUUGGCACAACUUAAUAACAUUGUAGCAUAGUAAGAAUCCUAAUAAUUCAACAACAGAAAUCUAGGACAACAGUAGACCUGAUUUGCUAGCAUAAUAGCCUUACAAAUUAGACAUAAUUUGGACAUCUCCUUUCACUAAAAAAAUAAUGUAAUUUCUAUAGGAUGUUGAAGCAUUCUUGAAGAUUCUAAACUACUGCAAAAUGAAUAUAUGUUUUAAUUUAUUUCAAGAAUGCCAAUU